rnacentral:tRNA from 1 species
AAAUCCGUCGACUUUAUAAAUCGUGAGGGUUCAAGUCCCUCUAUCCCCCCCA